rnacentral:rRNA from 1 species
GGUCAAGUGAAGAAGCGCAUACGGUGGAUGCCUUGGCAGUCAGAGGCGAUGAAAGACGUGGUAGCCUGCGAAAAGCUUCGGGGAGUCGGCAAACAGACUUUGAUCCGGAGAUCUCUGAAUGGGGGAACCCACCUAGGAUAACCUAGGUAUCUUGUACUGAAUCCAUAGGUGCAAGAGGCGAACCAGGGGAACUGAAACAUCUAAGUACCCUGAGGAAAAGAAAUCAACCGAGAUUCCCUUAGUAGUGGCGAGCGAACGGGGAUUAGCCCUUAAGCUUCAUUGAUUUUAGCGGAACGCUCUGGAAAGUGCGGCCAUAGUGGGUGAUAGCCCCGUACGCGAAAGGAUCUUUGAAGUGAAAUCGAGUAGGACGGAGCACGAGAAACUUUGUCUGAACAUGGGGGGACCAUCCUCCAAGGCUAAAUACUACUGACUGACCGAUAGUGAACCAGUACCGUGAGGGAAAGGCGAAAAGAACCCCGGAGAGGGGAGUGAAAUAGAACCUGAAACCGUAUGCGUACAAGCAGUGGGAGCCUACUUGUUAGGUGACUGCGUACCUUUUGUAUAAUGGGUCAGCGACUUAUAUUCAGUGGCAAGCUUAACCGUAUAGGGUAGGCGUAGCGAAAGCGAGUCUUAAUAGGGCGUUUAGUCGCUGGGUAUAGACCCGAAACCGGGCGAUCUAUCCAUGAGCAGGUUGAAGGUUAGGUAACACUGACUGGAGGACCGAACCCACUCCCGUUGAAAAGGUAGGGGAUGACUUGUGGAUCGGAGUGAAAGGCUAAUCAAGCUCGGAGAUAGCUGGUUCUCCUCGAAAGCUAUUUAGGUAGCGCCUCAUGUAUCACUCUGGGGGGUAGAGCACUGUUUCGGCUAGGGGGUCAUCCCGACUUACCAAACCGAUGCAAACUCCGAAUACCCAGAAGUGCCGAGCAUGGGAGACACACGGCGGGUGCUAACGUCCGUCGUGAAAAGGGAAACAACCCAGACCGCCAGCUAAGGUCCCAAAGUUGUGGUUAAGUGGUAAACGAUGUGGGAAGGCUUAGACAGCUAGGAGGUUGGCUUAGAAGCAGCCAUCCUUUAAAGAAAGCGUAAUAGCUCACUAGUCGAGUCGGCCUGCGCGGAAGAUGUAACGGGGCUCAAACCACACACCGAAGCUGCGGGUGUCACGUAAGUGACGCGGUAGAGGAGCGUUCUGUAAGCCUGUGAAGGUGAGUUGAGAAGCUUGCUGGAGGUAUCAGAAGUGCGAAUGCUGACAUGAGUAACGACAAUGGGUGUGAAAAACACCCACGCCGAAAGACCAAGGGUUCCUGCGCAACGUUAAUCGACGCAGGGUUAGUCGGUUCCUAAGGCGAGGCUGAAAAGCGUAGUCGAUGGGAAACAGGUUAAUAUUCCUGUACUUCUGGUUACUGCGAUGGAGGGACGGAGAAGGCUAGGCCAGCUUGGCGUUGGUUGUCCAAGUUUAAGGUGGUAGGCUGAAAUCUUAGGUAAAUCCGGGGUUUCAAGGCCGAGAGCUGAUGACGAGUCGUCUUUUAGAUGACGAAGUGGUUGAUGCCAUGCUUCCAAGAAAAGCUUCUAAGCUUCAGGUAACCAGGAACCGUACCCCAAACCGACACAGGUGGUCGGGUAGAGAAUACCAAGGCGCUUGAGAGAACUCGGGUGAAGGAACUAGGCAAAAUGGCACCGUAACUUCGGGAGAAGGUGCGCCGGCUAGGGUGAAGGAUUUACUCCGUAAGCUCUGGCUGGUCGAAGAUACCAGGCCGCUGCGACUGUUUAUUAAAAACACAGCACUCUGCAAACACGAAAGUGGACGUAUAGGGUGUGACGCCUGCCCGGUGCCGGAAGGUUAAUUGAUGGGGUUAGCGCAAGCGAAGCUCUUGAUCGAAGCCCCGGUAAACGGCGGCCGUAACUAUAACGGUCCUAAGGUAGCGAAAUUCCUUGUCGGGUAAGUUCCGACCUGCACGAAUGGCGUAACGAUGGCGGCGCUGUCUCCACCCGAGACUCAGUGAAAUUGAAAUCGCUGUGAAGAUGCAGUGUAUCCGCGGCUAGACGGAAAGACCCCGUGAACCUUUACUGUAGCUUUGCACUGGACUUUGAGCCUGCUUGUGUAGGAUAGGUGGGAGGCUUUGAAGCGUGGACGCCAGUUCGCGUGGAGCCAUCCUUGAAAUACCACCCU